rnacentral:rRNA from 1 species
AACGCGAAGAACCUUACCAGGCCUUGACAUGCAUCUCUAAACCGGUGAAAGCCGGCGAGUCUCGAAAGAGACAAUUUGCACAGGUGCUGCAUGGCUGUCGUCAGCUCGUGUCGUGAGAUGUUGGGUUAAGUCCCGCAACGAGCGCAACCCUUGUGAACUGUUGCCACCGAGCCGAGAGGCUCGAGCACUCUGUUCAGACUGCCUCGCUUAAACGAGGAGGAAGGUGAGGACGACGUCAAGUCAGUAUGGCCCUUACGGCCUGGGCUGCACACGUACUACAAUGCCCAGUACAGAACGAUCCGAGACCGCGAGGUGGAGGAAAUCUAUUCAAAACUGGGCCCAGUUCGGAUUGGAGUCUGCAAUUCGACUCCAUGAAGCCGGAAUCGCUAGUAAUGGCGUAUCAGCUACGACGCCGUGAAUACGUUCCCGGGCCUUGUA